CAGUAGCCACGGGAAUACGAAGGGUGCAAGCGUUACUCGGAAUUACUGGGCGUAAAGCGUGCGUAGGUGGUGGUUUAAGUCCGUUGUGAAAGCCCUGGGCUCAACCUGGGAAUUGCAGUGGAUACUGGGUCACUAGAGUGUGGUAGAGGAUAGUGGAAUUUCCGGUGUAGCGGUGAAAUGCGUAGAGAUCGGGAGGAACAUCAGUGGCGAAGGCGGCCAUCUGGGACAACACUGACGCUGAGGCACGAAAGCGUGGGUAGCAAACAGGAUUAGAUACCCCGGUAGUCCCUGUCUCUUAUAC
rnacentral:rRNA from 1 species